AAAACAGAAAGUUGAGAAAUGGACCUUCAAGUUCUGCAUCAUCAAACACAUGAACACGCCGUCUGCUCUGGACAACCUGCUGGCGUCUCACGUUUCCUUCCCUGAGGCUCACUUAGCUUCAGCUCCUGCCUUAGCAAGGCUUCUCCGUUUCACUGGUUAAUGGUACUGUUGCCUUCCUAUUCACUCUAUUGAGUCCCUGAAGGGCAAUUCAUUUGCAACUAGGUUGGGGCCAACACAUUCACACAAACACCUUUAUGCAUUACUUAGACAAAUCGGAGACAUACAUCAAAAAAUAAAAAAAAGAAUACAAAAAAAACCAUGAGCUGAUGUCAAGUCAAGGCAUUAAAGCUAGAGUUUAGUUAAAGACUGACAGUGGGGACACCAGACUCUAAUCUGUUCGUUCUGCGGUGGAAUCCAUCAAGACCUUUUUAUAGAUUGGAAUACUGAUCUGGACUUGACUUGGUCUAUAAUUUCAUUCAACUGAAUCCCAAUUAUUUUUUCCAAAUCUAGUUCUGCAUUCUUUGAUAAAAGCUCUCUUUCUGUAGAAUAGGACAUCGAGGGGGUCCACUCUUUGAGGCAGC